CUAUGUACGGAAGGGAUAAGCGCUGAAAGCAUCUAAGCGUGAAGCCCCCCUCAAGAUGAGAUUUCCCAGUAUGUAAGACCCCUUGAAGACGACGAGGUAGAUAGGUUGGGGGUGGAAGUGCAGUAAUGCAUGGAGCUGACCAAUACUAAUCGGUCGAGGGCUUAUCCUAAA
rnacentral:rRNA from 1 species